GACGAACGCUGGCGGCGUGCCUAAUACAUGCAAGUAGAACGCUGAAGGAGGAGCUUGCUUCUCCGGAUGAGUUGCGAACGGGUGAGUAACGCGUAGGUAACCUGCCUGGUAGCGGGGGAUAACUAUUGGAAACGAUAGCUAAUACCGCAUAACAGUAGAUGUUGCAUGACAUUUGCUUAAAAGGUGCAAUUGCAUCACUACCAGAUGGACCUGCGUUGUAUUAGCUAGUUGGUGAGGUAACGGCUCACCAAGGCGACGAUACAUAGCCGACCUGAGAGGGUGAUCGGCCACACUGGGACUGAGACACGGCCCAGACUCCUACGGGAGGCAGCAGUAGGGAAUCUUCGGCAAUGGACGGAAGUCUGAACGAGCAACGCCGCGUGAGUGAAGAAGGUUUUCGGAUCGUAAAGCUCUGUUGUAAGAGAAGAAAGAGUGUGAGAGUGGAAAGUUCACACUGUGACGGUAUCUUACCAGAAAGGGACGGCUAACUACGUG
rnacentral:rRNA from 1 species